rnacentral:rRNA from 1 species
CUAGAUCGUAUGAUUACAUGGAUAACUGUGGUAAUUCUAGAGCUAAUACAUGCAACAUGCCCAGCCAACUAGCGUGGCGGGCGCAGUUAUUAGAACAAAACCAAUCCGGCUACGGUCGGUACUUUGGUGACUCUGAAUAACCGAAGCGGAGCGCAAAGGGCUCGUCCCGGCGCCAGAUCUUUCAAGUGUCUGACUUAUCAGCUUGUUGCGAGGUUAUGUUCCUCGCAUGGCUAUUACGGGUGACGGGGUAUCAGGGUCCGAUACCGGAGAGGGAGCCUGAGAAAUGGCUACCACAUCCAAGGAAGGCAGCAGGCGCGCAAAUUACCCACUCCCGGCACGGGGAGGUAGUGACGAAAAAUAACGAUGCGAGGGCUUACAGCCUUUCGUAAUCGGAAUGAGUACACUUUAAAUCCUUUAACGAGGAUCUAUUGGAGGGCAAGUCUGGUGCCAGCAGCCGCGGUAAUUCCAGCUCCAAUAGCGUAUAUUAAAGUUGCUGCGGUUAAAAAGCUCGUAGUUGGAUCCGGGUAGUCGACGCGCGGUGGGCUCAAACGCUCUACUGCGUGCUCGGCGCCACUAUCCGGCAUGUCUUGCAUGUUCUUAACUGAGUGUGCUUGGCGGCUGGAACGUUUACUUUGAAAAAAUUAGAGUGCUUAAAGCAGGCAUAUGGCCUUGCAUAAUGGUGCAUGGAAUAAUGGAAUAGGACAUCGGUCCUAUUUUGUUGGUUUUCGGGGCUCGAUGUAAUGAUUAAGAGGAACAGACGGGGACAUUCGUAUUGCGGCGUUAGAGGUGAAAUUCUUGGAUCGUCGCAAGAUGAACUACUGCGAAAGCAUUUGUCAAGAAUGUUUUCAUUAAUCAAGAACGAAAGUUAGAGGUUCGAAGGCGAUCAGAUACCGCCCUAGUUCUAACCAUAAACGAUGCCAACCAGCGAUCCGUCGGUGUUCAUUCAAUGACUCGACGGGCAGCUUCCGGGAAACCAAAGUGCUUAGGUUCCGGGGGAAGUAUGGUUGCAAAGCUGAAACUUAAAGGAAUGACGAAAGGCCC